CACAGCCUCUGGGCUGGUCCACACCUGUCAUCAAAUCUAGCAGCUCGUCAAGGGUUAGCUGCCUGUCCAAGUGCUGUUUUAGUCAAACCAAACCAAACAGAAAGUGUGGUUUUUGUUCAUAACGACAGUUUAUUUUCAACUCUUACAAUUCUCCCCAUACCCCAUUAUAUUCCUGCAAGGCACCUCUCCCCUUCUAGUACAUCAUCUGAUUGACGCAGUCUUUUCCUUUGUCUGUCCCGCCCGCUAAGUGAAGUUCUAAAGGGGCAGGCUUGUCUGCUCGUUCACGGACGUCAGUACACACCUGCGAGGCCUCGGAAGAGACCGGAACAAAGCGCGUACUCGAUACAUACCAGCUGAAUGAAUGGAUUCCUCAUCUGUACUCCACACAAAGGUAAAAACAGUGUUAGGAAAAACCACAGUUCUCUCUUGACCAUUUGGGCUGAAAGGAAUGAACUGACGCCUUGUUCUGAACCGUCUGCCUUGCCUCCUGCCCUGGGAUUUGUCUUUAAAAGACAAUCCACAAGACAAACUGUGCCCUUCAUCCAUUUUCAAAGGCCUCAUUUGCCUGUCAGCUGCCCUACUUCAGUACUCGAUGGGAGGAUCGAAAGUGGGAGUAACUGAAAACUCAAAUUCUCCACCUUCAGAAACACGGGUUGUAGCAGUAAUAACAUGUUAAUAAAUACAGCAGCAUUCUGAAACCACAAAAAAAGGGAACACUCCCAUCACAAACACAUCUAAAAUACACUGUGAUACAUCUGAUGCUCGAGGAUACAAACCAGAACAAGCUAGUUCUGACCUUCAGAUGGCUACUGACCAACGACGGACGAGAGCCUCGAACAGUACAAGGGCCCUAGGAGAAGCAAUUCUGUCGCCAGUAUGUGAGGACGACUCAAAAAAAC